rnacentral:rRNA from 1 species
AGUCGACGGUGAAGAGGAGCUUGCUCCUUGGAUCAGUGGCGAACGGGUGAGUAACACGUGAGCGAUCUGCCCUUGACUCUGGGAUAACUGCGGGAAACUGUAGCUAAUACCGGAUAUUACCUUGGAAGGCAUCUUCUGGGGUGGAAAGAAUUUUGGUCAAGGAUGAGCUCGCGGCCUAUCAGCUAGUUGGUGAGGUAAUGGCUCACCAAGGUGACGACGGGUAGCCGGCCUGAGAGGGUGACCGGCCACACUGGGACUGAGACACGGCCCAGACUCCUACGGGAGGCAGCAGUGGGGAAUAUUGCACAAUGGGCGCAAGCCUGAUGCAGCAACGCCGCGUGAGGGACGAAGGCCUUCGGGUUGUAAACCUCUUUUAGUAGGGAAGAAGCGACUGGGUUUUCCUGGAAGUGACGGUACCUGCAGAAAAAGCACCGGCUAACUACGUGCCAGCAGCCGCGGUAAUACGUAGGGUGCAAGCGUUGUCCGGAAUUAUUGGGCGUAAAGAGCUCGUAGGCGGUUUGUCGCGUCUGCUGUGAAAACCCGAGGCUCAACCUCGGGCCUGCAGUGGGUACGGGCAGACUAGAGUGCGGUAGGGGAGAUUGGAAUUCCUGGUGUAGCGGUGGAAUGCGCAGAUAUCAGGAGGAACACCAAUGGCGAAGGCAGAUCUCUGGGCCGUAACUGACGCUGAGGAGCGAAAGCAUGGGGAGCG